GAUGAACGCUAGCGGCGUGCCUAAUACAUGCAAGUCGAGCGAACAGACGAUGAUCUUGCUCCUCUGACGUUAGCGGCGGACGGGUGAGUAACACGUGUAUAACCUACCUAUAAGACUGGUAUAACUUCGGGAAACCGGAUCUAAUACCGGAUAAUAUAUUGAACCGCGUGGGUCAAUAGUGAAAUACGGUUUUGCUGUCACUUAUAGAUGGAUCCGCGCCGCUUUAGCUAGUUGGUAAGGUAACGGCUUACCAAGGCAACGAUGCGUAGCCGACCUGAGAGGGGGAUAGGCCACCUGGGAAGUGAGACACGGUCCAGACUACUGAGGGAGGCAGCAGAAGGGAAUCUUACGCAAUGGGCGAAAGCAUGACGGAGCAACGGGGAGUGAGUGAUGAAGGUGCUGGGAUCGUAAAGAUCUGUUAUUAGGGAAGAACCAAUGUGUAAGGAACCAUGCCGGUAUUGACGGUACCUAGUCAGAAAGCAACGGCUAACUACGUG
rnacentral:rRNA from 1 species